AUCUUGUAAAUAUAUACAUGUAUAUUUGACUUCCAAUCAAAAAGACUAAUAAAUCUUAGACAAGAUA
rnacentral:tRNA from 1 species